GACGAACGCUGGCGGCGUGCCUAAUACAUGCAAGUCGAACGCAGUGGGGACGGGUGAGUAACCCGUGGGUAACCUCCCAUCAGAGGGGGUAACACUUGGAAACAGGUGCUAAACCGAUACUGAUGGAUGGACGCGCGGUGCAUUAGCAAGUUGGUGAGGUAACGGCUCACCAAGGCCACGAUGCGUCGCCGACCGGGACUGGUGAUCGGCGACCCUGGGACUUAGACACGGCCCAUACUCCUACGGGAGGCAGCAGUAGCGAAUCUGCGGCAAUGGACGAAAGUCUUGCCGAGCAACGCCGCGUGAGUGAAAAAGGUUUUCGGAUCGUAAAACUCUGUUGUUAGAGAAGCGGUAGCUAACCAGAAAGCCACGGCUAACUACGUGCCAGCAGCCGCGGUAAUAC
rnacentral:rRNA from 1 species